ensembl:snoRNA
AAUCCCAUUUUAUUACCUUCCACUCGCUGUCUAAUGAAUGGAAGGCUAUGCUAAUGGGGAAGAGAAGCACUGUCAUGGUCUGAAGGUGUGGCUAGCUGAUUGUGCGCCCCACUAAAUAAGCUGACAGAACAUUUGAAU